GAUGAACGCUAGCUACAGGCCUAACACAUGCAAGUCGAGGGGAAACGGCAGCUUAGCUCGCUAAGCUGGACGUCGACCGGCGCACGGGUGAGUAACGCGUAUCCAACCUGCCCCACGGUGAGGGAUAACCCGCGGAAACGCGGCCUAAUACCUCAUGGCCUCCGAGCUUGACAUCAAUCUUGGAGUAAAGAUUCAUUGCCGUGGGAUGGGGAUGCGUCUGAUUAGCUUGUUGGCGGGGCAACGGCCCACCAAGGCUACGAUCAGUAGGGGUUCUGAGAGGAAGGUCCCCCACAUUGGAACUGAGACACGGUCCAAACUCCUACGGGAGGCAGCAGUGAGGAAUAUUGGUCAAUGGGCGAGAGCCUGAACCAGCCAAGUAGCGUGCAGGAAGACGGCCCUAUGGGGUUGUAAACUGCUUUUAUAGGGGAUAAAGUGUGGGACGUGUCCCAUAUUGCAGGUACCGCAUGAAUAAGGACCGGCUAAUUCCGUG
rnacentral:rRNA from 1 species